ACCAAAUCCAAGACACUCACACCGGCUCUGGGGAACUUCUCUUUCUGAGGGCAUUCAAUGGCAUAAUGUCUUCUAUCCUAGGAGCUUAUGCAAAUAGGGUCCUCCCUCUACUGAUAAGACAGCCUUGUCCUGAACCUGCAGCUCUGGCAGCGGAGUCCCAGCCCCAGGAUCCCCAGGUGCUCCCAUUCUGUGAUCAGGACUGAACACAGACCACAUGCCAUGGAGUCUGGGCUGAGCUGGGUGGUCCUUGCGGCUCUUUUACAAGGUGUCCAGGGUGAGGGGCAGCUGGUGGAGUCUGGAGGAGGCCUGGUGCAGCCUGUGGGUCUCUGAGACUCUCCUGUGCAGACUCUGGGUUCACCUUCAGUGGCUUCUACAUGCACUGGGUCUUCCAGGCUCCCGGGAAGUGACUGGAGUAGGUGGCAGGUAUUAGCAGUCAUGGCGGUAGCACCUACUAUGCAGACUCUGUGAAGGGCUGAUUCACCAUCUCCAGAGACAACGCUGAGAACACACUGUAUCUGCAGAUGAACAGCCUGAGAACUGAAGACACGGCCCGGUAUUACUGUGCGAAAGACACAGUGAGGGGAAGGCUGUGUGAGCCCAGACACAAACCUCCCUGCAGGGACACAGGGCCUGGGCUGCAGGGGGCACUCAGGACCCAGAGGUGUUUGUUUCAUGCCCAGGAGCAGGUGCAGAGGGAAGUUAAGGGCUGGUUUCCUGCCAGGGUCUGGGGCUUCCUCUCCCUGUGGCAUCUCCCCAAGGGAAUCCCUCUGCACUCAUGAUUCUCUACACACUAUUCAGUCUCUGAAGGAGAAAGGAGUGUUGGAAUAGGGGAAAUAUUCUCACAUGCAUAAAAGUUAGGGAGACACUAUAUGUUGUUUCAUCCUUCUCUUAAUAUCUUUAAGUAACUCUUCAUGACCGCUGGUGAAUCUACAAAAGAGGGUCCAUUGGACUCAGCCAGGGAGCUCAACACAGCAGAUCCAGCGACCCAGCAGCUAGCAGCAACAUCAUAAAGUGCACACUGGACAGCAGACAUCAGCAGGUUCCAAACCGAAAGCAAGAGAAGCAACUCCCCUCGGUGGUCGUGGUUCCCCUGACACCUCACUCACAGCCUCCAAGCUAGUUUCCUCCGUGCCAAUGCACAGGGACCCCCACUGCAGCUUGCGGGAGAAGUUGAGUCUGAGGACACCCCACACAGUGAGGCAAGGAGUGUGAGCAGUUUAUCGCAUCCGUCACUGAGGUGUCUGUUGAGAGCAGGGACGUCCCGUGCAGUACAUCCUGGGGAAGGACAGAGCCACCUGAUGUUCAUGCCAAUUAUUAUCGACAGGAUUAGGAUCCUCCUUCUCACGCCCUCCUACAAACAGGUCUCGCCUGGGCCAGGGCCCAGAUUCUGGCCUGCUCUUCACGGGUGCAGCAAGACCCCUUUCAAGACCGCAUGACUGUCUUGCCAGGUCAAGUCAAAGGCUAUGUACGGUAAGGGCCCGAACUUCUCUGAUCAAAGUGGCAGCGUCCUGGCUGCAGGAGCCUCGUUUGUUCCGCGUAUGACAGAGCGAGCAGACAUGGGCACCGGAACCCGGGCCCCCGAGAGCGCCCCAGGCUCCACUGUCAAAUUCCCAAAGGGGGAGCGCCGUGGGGCCCGGCUCAUGGUGAUGCGCCCUCCGUGACCUGGUGCAGGGAGCGGAACGAGGGCUCCUCUCUGGGGACGCAGGUGGGACCUGAAGUGCUGAGGCUCAGUGCCGGAGGCUGGUGAGAUCGAGGACGGGUAGGCUCAUCUAGACUAGCUGGCGGGAAGGGGUGGGUGGGGUGGGGGGCACCAGGCGAUAGAGUAGGAGAGAGACACAUACAGCGGGAGUCCCUCAAACCUAGACUUUGGCUGAGGGCCCUAGAGCCUUGGACAUUGGGAACCUCCGACCAUUUUCCACGUCAGCGUGUCUGGGUCAGAUUGCUUCCAGCUGUUGAGAAUACAGCCAAGGCGAGAGGCUGCAGGGGGCUCCCGGGAUGUACCAGAACCCAUUCUUAGCCUCCACGCAGUAGUAUAGGGGUACUCAGAGCCACCGACUGGCCAAAGGUGUGCCUUAUUGUCUCAGCGACGUCUCCGAGGCACUAAGGCGCAAAGCUGCAACCGUCUCCACAGUCGUGUCUGGCUUGGGGGAGGUGGCCAGAGAAGCGGGGACCUGUGCCACUAGGGCACCACGGGAAUUCCCAGGAACCAGCUGAGGCUGACUCGCUUUUCACAGAGCCCCUGGGAUGUGCCUUAUGGUCCUACUGGGGAGGCGGUGGCCAGCGACAAGGGACUCUGAGUUUGCUUUGAGCACUAAGUGCCUCUUGUUGCAAAGAACUUAUCUUGAUGGGGGCAGAUGCUCUCAUAGCCUGGUCCCUUCUCUGUCCCCCUUGUCCUCUCACAGGUGUCUUCGAGGGGCAGGCAGCCCUGAGGACUCUUAACUGCCUGCACGGUACUAGCUGUCCCGGUCCGCAGCUGGGAGGGAAAAAGAAAGGAGGAAGCCUCACCCAUCAGGUGGCCGGUACUAAGGUGCAGAGAUGCGCUUGGUGCAGAGGGAUGACCUCCUCAUCAUCACGGAGCCCAAGUGCAUGGUCAUGUCUGUCGUUAUCGCCCAUGGAGAGAAGAGGUCUUAAGAUGCACCUGCUGACCUGCUGAUAGAUUGGGGAAAGAAGUGUCUGAUGCUACACUUGCUACAUGGUUGGGGGCUUAUCAAAGCCCCCAUAGGGGAGAGCAGGAGAUCCGCACAGGCGCAGGCGGAAACUAUCAGCUCCUGGGAGAGGACCACGCAGACAGAGUAGGGGAAACAGCCCUGGGGCUCCCACUCAGGAAGCUUUUCUCCUCUCGUUGGUUGAGAACGAAUAGAGUGUAACCAUCACCUGGGACAGUGGGGAAUGUUUUACUCAGUAAGCCCAACAAAGCUUCAAGACAAAAACCCAAAAGACCAAAGUUUGCAAAUGAGUUUCCUGCUAGCCACCUCAAGACACAUAUACUGGUAAGACUUAAAACAUUUCUUUCUCAGCACCUAUAAGAAGCAAAAUGGACAGGGUCUAGCCCCAGCCACCAAAGAAGAAGGGAGAAGGGGUGCUCGUAACGAGGAAAAUAGCAGUCUGUGGGACGUGACCCAGAAGUCCCUGGGUGAUAGAAUCGAUAGGGUUGCUGAUCGUGUUACAGGCACACACGGAGUCUCCAGUCACUGGGAGAAAGAGUGAACGCGUUGAACAGAGACAGGCCUCUGCUUCCCUCUCCCUUCGGGAGUCAGUGUCAGCACCCUAGACACAGCCCUGCCACCUCCCCCAGGGCAGUUCCUGCUGGGUGAAUGUCCAGGCCCUGCCUGCCUCCCCCUGUGACUGUUACCUAAUGCGGUGCACCAGCAAACCCACUAGCAUCCAAGUACAUGGAAGUGAGUGGGUAUUUCUGUGAUCCGAAGUCUCGUUUAAGUGUCCCUUCAUGUUCACCAGUUGAGCAGCAGAAUACCCUAGGAGUGACACAGCAGUGGACCAGAGUAUCUUCAAUGCAGACUGAACUUUGGAAACUAGAAGGCGUUUCAGAGCUUGUUUGCAGCGUUCUGUCAAUUUUCUACUGUACAGCAAGGUGACCCCGUCACACAU